UACGUAGGGUGCGAGCGUUAAUCGGAUUUACUGGGCGUAAAGGGCGCGUAGGCGGCCACCGCAAGUCGGUUGUGAAAUCUCUGGGCUUAACCCAGAAAGGUCAACCGAUACUGCGGGGCUAGAGUGCAGAAGGGGCAACUGGAAUUCUCGGUGUAGCGGUGAAAUGCGUAGAUAUCGAGAGGAACACCUGCGGCGAAGGCGGGUUGCUGGGCUGACACUGACGCUGAAGCGCGAAAGCUAGGGGAGCGAACGGG
rnacentral:rRNA from 1 species